rnacentral:rRNA from 1 species
UACGUAGGGUGCGAGCGUUGUCCGGAAUUAUUGGGCGUAAAGGGCUCGUAGGCGGUUUGUCGCGUCGAAUGUGAAAACUCGGGGCUUAACCCCGAGCCUGCUUCUGAUACGGGCAGACUAGAGGUAUGCAGGGGAGAACGGAAUUCCUGGUGUAGCGGUGAAAUGCGCAGAUAUCAGGAGGAACACCGGUGGCGAAGGCGGUUCUCUGGGCAUUACCUGACGCUGAGGAGCGAAAGUGUGGGGAGCGAACAGG